rnacentral:rRNA from 1 species
UUGGAGGGCAAGUCUGGUGCCAGCAGCCGCGGUAAUUCCAGCUCCAAUAGCGUAUAUUAAAGUUGUUGCAGUUAAAAAGCUCGUAGUUGAAUUUCGGGGUUCUACCGUUGGUCGGGCUUUGUCUGUACUGGUGUGUAGAAUUUCUACCUUCUGGGGAACCAUCAUGCUAUUAAUUUAGCGUGGUGGGAAACCAGGACCUUUACCUUGAAAAAAUUAGUGUGUUCAAAGCAGGCUUAUGUCUGAAUACAUUAGCGUGGAAUAAUAGAAUAAGACGGUGGUCCUGUUUUGUUGGUUUCUGAAUCACCGUAAUGAUUAAUAGGGAUAGUUGGGGGCAUUAGUAUUCAAUUGUCAGAGGUGAAAUUCUUGGAUUUAUUGAAGACUAACUUCUGCGAAAGCAUUUGCCAAGGAUGUUUUCAUUAAUCAAGAACGAAAGUUAGGGGAUCGAAGACGAUUAGAUACCGUCGUAGUCUUAACCAUAAACUAUGCCGACUAGGGAUCGGACGAUGUUAAUUUUUCUUGACUCGUUCGGCGCCUUACGGGAAAC